GUCCAGACUCCUACGGGAGGCAGCAGUGGGGAAUAUUGCACAAUGGGGGAAACCCUGAUGCAGCGACGCCGCGUGAGCGAUGAAGUAUUUCGGUAUGUAAAGCUCUAUCAGCAGGGAAGAAGAUGACGGUACCUGACUAAGAAGCCCCGGCUAACUACGUGCCAGCAGCCGCGGUAAUACGUAGGGGGCAAGCGUUAUCCGGAUUUACUGGGUGUAAAGGGAGCGUAGACGGCGAUGCAAGCCAGAUGUGAAAGCCCGGGGCUCAACCCCGGGACUGCAUUUGGAACUGUGUGGCUGGAGUGUCGGAGAGGCAGGCGGAAUUCCUAGUGUAGCGGUGAAAUGCGUAGAUAUUAGGAGGAACACCAGUGGCGAAGGCGGCCUGCUGGACGAUGACUGACGUUGAGGCUCGAAAGCGUGGGGAGCAAACAGGAUUAGAUACCCCAGUAUA
rnacentral:rRNA from 1 species